rnacentral:rRNA from 1 species
UACGAAGGGGACUAGCGUUGUUCGGAAUCACUGGGCGUAAAGCGCACGUAGGCGGUCUGUCGCGUCGGCUGUGAAAUCCCGAGGCUCAACCUCGGGUCUGCAGUCGAUACGGGCAAACUAGAGUAUUGCAGGGGAGACUGGAAUUCCUGGUGUAGCGGUGAAAUGCGCAGAUAUCAGGAGGAACACCGGUGGCGAAAGCGCUCUACUGGGCCUGCACUGACACUGAGGGACGAAAGCUAGGGGAGCGAAAGGG